CCCCACUUAUCCACGUUAUCAUUGUCCGUUAACUUAUCUAAAAUUGUAAAAGCUGUUCUCCUUUUAUAUACUAAUGAGCUUAAUUAUUUUACCAAACUAGGGAACAAGAAAUCUUUAUAGGGAUAUCUAGAUUGGACAUUUUCUAAGGGGAUCCACAGAACUCUGUGUCUCAUCUGCAGUUGCUGCUGUUAGUGUAAUGUAAAAGUGUGAUGUUGACUUAAAAUGUGAGUAUAUUUAUCAGUAAAAUACAGAAUUUAAAAGAAUAUAUAUGUGUAUAAUACUCCUAUAUAAACUAUGGUUUUUAUGUACUGAUAAUAAAAUCAAUGUUAAUAUACCAAUAACAAAAAAAUAUAUAUAGAUCUAAUUUUAGAGGUAAAAUUGGCAUAAACUUAUUAGAAAAAUUUUCUUGUUCUAGUUUAUGGAGAAUGCAAUGAUAAAUUAUAAAUUACAAAAAAAACUUAAUCUCACCUUUGUACAUGUCAGAAAUGCGAAAUAUGUGGACUCAUCUUUAAAAUUCCUUAGUAAUAACCCUGAUUGGUAAGGUUACCGUAGUAUUUGAUGAUUAUUUUACGAAAAUUGUACCCUGAAUUUUAUUUUUAGAUUGCAGCAACAGAAUGAAGAAUUCCAAGAGUCUAAUACGGUUUAUUUAACAGGAUUUUUUCAUUGAAUCAACAUCCUACAAGAAUAUAACAUACAAAUUAAAAACCAAUUGUUCAGAGAACAAUUGAAGGUCUUUCCACCUGUCAAUAUC
rnacentral:lncRNA from 1 species